rnacentral:rRNA from 1 species
GGUAACAGGAAACAGCUUGCUGUUUCGCUGACGAGUGGCGGACGGGUGAGUAAUGUCUGGGAAACUGCCUGAUGGAGGGGGAUAACUACUGGAAACGGUAGCUAAUACCGCAUAACGUCGCAAGACCAAAGAGGGGGACCUUCGGGCCUCUUGCCAUCAGAUGUGCCCAGAUGGGAUUAGCUAGUAGGUGGGGUAACGGCUCACCUAGGCGACGAUCCCUAGCUGGUCUGAGAGGAUGACCAGCCACACUGGAACUGAGACACGGUCCAGACUCCUACGGGAGGCAGCAGUGGGGAAUAUUGCACAAUGGGCGCAAGCCUGAUGCAGCCAUGCCGCGUGUAUGAAGAAGGCCUUCGGGUUGUAAAGUACUUUCAGCGGGGAGGAAGGGAGUAAAGUUAAUACCUUUGCUCAUUGACGUUACCCGCAGAAGAAGCACCGGCUAACUCCGUGCCAGCAGCCGCGGUAAUACGGAGGGUGCAAGCGUUAAUCGGAAUUACUGGGCGUAAAGCGCACGCAGGCGGUUUGUUAAGUCAGAUGUGAAAUCCCCGGGCUCAACCUGGGAACUGCAUCUGAUACUGGCAAGCUUGAGUCUCGUAGAGGGGGGUAGAAUUCCAGGUGUAGCGGUGAAAUGCGUAGAGAUCUGGAGGAAU